AGAGCUGCGGUCCCUGUGCGCGGGAUCGCGUCGGGGGCGGGGCGGCGACAGGCCUUCAACGUCAAACUGCUGACGGGCGCCGUUACGACCCGCGCUCCCGUGCGCUCCUCAAAUUCUGAGACGCGUGGCUGGAGAGCGGGCGGCCCUGGCCCCGGAGAGCCGUGUUCCCGCGGGAUCUCGUCGCGGGCGUGAGGCGGGGCCGGCCUGGGCCGGUCAUCCCUGGCUGGCGCGACCCGCAGCCUGUCCGGGAAGCCGUUGCGACAUGCGGGCUGGGAACCGCCUCACCUCCAGGGGGGACCGCGGCGGCCCGCUAGACUCUGGUCGGGUCUGGAGUAUUGGGCCCUCUGGCCGGACUCGGUGCUCCUCAGGCCCCAGCGCCCGGCACUGAGCCUCGCAUCCACAUUCGCAGAGUAAACCCAACAAGUGUUGAAUGAAUGAGGUUCCCCGGGCCCCGGCUGUCACUGGGCUCUGCGCCAGGCCAAGAGCCGAAGGCGGGGGAGGAAGAUGUCGAAAUGGGCGGGAUGAUUCACAGAUGACGGCCGGUGGCGAGGCGGGGCUGGAGGCCGCAUCCCAAAGGCAGCAGGGAAGUGCGGCGGCUGUGGGGAAGCUCGGACGCACGGCCUGGCCGAGUCUGAAGCAUCAGUAUUUUGUCCCUGAGCCGGCGCGCUGAUGGGUCCCCCGCCUGGCGAUGAGGGCUUCUCCCUCCCUCGGGUCAGCCCGGGUCCUGAGAGGCAAGGCCAGCGAUUCCCGGCCUUAGGACCUCCUGCUCUAGGGAGCACGGGCGUCUUCUUCCAUUUGCCUUCCCCGAGCGUGUUGGCACAAGCUGCCCGCGGUUUCCAGCUCUGUCUUCUCUGUUUUACCCAGAUGAUGCAACUGUGGACUUCUCCAUCUGUUCAUAGGUUUUCCUUGGAUAGGAAAGAUGUUUUCCUUUUUUCUUUCUAAAGUUUAGCUCUUCUCUGGGCUUCCUUUUUAAAAACUUUUUCUACUCUCUUCAGCAGUUGUUAUUAACCUUUAGGUCGCGACCGUUUGGAAAAUAAUAAAACUACGAAUUCUCUUCUCCUACUUCCACCUCCCAUCCCCUGUGUGCACUCAAAAUUUUGCAUAUCAUUUCUGCGUUUCAGAGUCCCUGAAGGUGCCAUGUGGACACCCUAGGGGUCCAUUAACCUGGUUAACCUCUCCCUGGCCGGCGCAGUGGCUCAUGCCUGUGACCCCAACACUGUGAAGGCCGAGGUGGGACGAUUUAUUGAGCUCAGGAGUUCGAGACCAGCCUGGACAACAUGGCAAAACCCCGUCUCUACAAAAUAAUAAAUACAAAAAAUGUCUGGAAUUUAUUCCUUCUGGUGGAUUCUUGGUCUUGCUGACU
rnacentral:lncRNA from 10 species